GAGACGCUGAGCACUGUCAGGAGAAUGACGUCACAAACUCCGCCCACACGCAGGUUUCUUCCUUGUUUGGAGGAAAAGAAAAACGUCAACAUGCAGGAGAAUGAAGAGACACACAUCAGGAGGAGGAGGAAGAUGAUGAUGAACUGAAGAAAGAGAAGCAGAUCAACAUGAGCAGCAUAAUAACAUGAAGAUCAGCAACAUCAGAAAUGAACAGAGAUGAUGAUCAGCUGAUGAAGAGCAGAAGAUCAACAUGAGCAGCAGAGAGAGCAGAGGUCAGAGAUUAUUCAGACACAUCUGAUCAAACAUCUUUCCUACAGUUCAAAACUAAUAACUACAGUGUGUGUUGACCAGUCCUAUGAGUAAAGAUGUCUGAAUAAUUCAUUAUUUCUGAAUAAUGCAUUUUAAUAAAACUUUAGGUGGUUUGAGUUACUGCUGUU
rnacentral:lncRNA from 1 species